UGUGACAUCAUCUGUGAAAGUCAAGGAGGGACGAAUGGAAGGUAAUCAUAAAGGUCAAGCUUCAAAAGCUUAUAAAAGUACCAUAUAGUAAUGCAUAUCAUUUAUUUGCUGUGUUCUAUAAACUUCUGAAGUUGUUCAAAUAAUUUGUGUGAAAAAGAGACUGAAAUAUAGGCCGUUCUUCAUCUGGCCCAUAUGUAUCCAUCUUUUGUAAAGCCAACAACGUGGUAAAGUUUCCUUUUCUAAUGUGAAAAUGUUAUGAAUAAAGCUUAUUAUUAAAAGUUCCUCUCCUUUCUCUUUAUCUCAGGUGAUAGUGAUAGUUGAACAGUAAAAUAUGAUUAGUUUAAUGUACUGUAUACUUUCAAAUGAAAUAGCAAAGUAAAAUAGCUAAUAAGAUAAAUUGAGCAAAUUAACACCAAUUAAACAAAUGAUUAAGAAGAAUAAAAGUUGGAAGAUAAGACGAAAUAUACCAGUGAUAGUAAAAGUGAACAAGUUCUGCUGCUAGUUUCUCACACACACUGCUGUGCUUGUGCUGUUUUUUCAGACCGAGCGAGAUUGUGUGUGUAAACCCCUUCAGAAGCAGGAUCUGCUUUUAGACACAGCAAUGAGGAUCGUCCAGACUGAACUCCACAUCAGAGAAACUCACCCUAUGAGAUACACACACCGAUUCAGCACUGUAGAUCAUUCACAGCAGGAAAAAGACCAACGCUUCCUGUGUCUUUCGCUGCAGUGUUAGAUUUAGGCUGAUGGCAAAAUGUUGCAUGAUCCUUGAAAACCAUUACCAAAACUACACAAGAUGAAAGAAAAAAUGAUAUGUAAAUCACAGUUCUGACAUAAUGCACUGUAAAUGACAUCAAGAUUGGAAUGUUUGGAAUCAUCAGCUCUUUUAGUUUCACUGAAGGCAGAUCCUGGAAGACUGCAGCAGAGUUCCACUGUUGCCGAGGAGACAGCUGUCAAUCAUCAGCAGCUGCUGGAAUGCUCCAUUGAGACGCUUCAGGGGGAGCUCAGCUGUGCUGUGAAAGAUGGAGAGACCCUGAGAGAAGAGAGACAUCAGAUGAAGAGGAAGGUGGAGAUGACCACGGUGAACUCAGCACUGCAGAAACAGAAGGAGGACAACAAGGAGCUGAUGGAGAGCCUGGCAGCCUUCAGCAUCAGCAGGUUUAACAUCAAAAGAUCACAGAGUCAGAUGCACGUCAAACGAAGAGUGUGCUACACCUGGAAGAGAGUUUGAAACGGCUCCCGGAUGAGGCAGAAGUGAGACUCGGGGAAGUUUAUCUGGAGUCACAGCAGGUAAACAAACCCCACCAACAUCAGUUUAUACACAAGCAAUAUUAAUAGAGACAUUUAAUGAGAGAAUUGUUAUUGUUGAGUAAACUAUCCCUUUCAACUGAAUCCGAAUGCUGUUGUGUUUCCGAUGUGAUCGUCUCCUGUGUUCUAAAAUCCUGAAAUUGAUGCUCAAAAGCAUGUCAGAUUUUAGGAUGCUCCUUCUCUGAUCACAGCCAGUGUUGAAAUCAUGCAAGCUCUCCAGAGAAUGGAAAUUUAUUUUGCCUUGCAAUUUUGCCUUUGAUAUGGUUCCUUCGUUU
rnacentral:lncRNA from 1 species